rnacentral:rRNA from 1 species
CCUACGGGAGGCAGCAGUGAGGAAUAUUGGUCAAUGGACGAGAGUCUGAACCAGCCAAGUAGCGUGAAGGAUGACUGCCCUAUGGGUUGUAAACUUCUUUUAUAUGGGAAUAAAAUGUUCCACGUGUGGGAUUUUGUAUGUACCAUAUGAAUAAGGAUCGGCUAACUCCGUGCCAGCAGCCGCGGUAAUACGGAGGAUCCGAGCGUUAUCCGGAUUUAUUGGGUUUAAAGGGAGCGUAGGUGGAUUGUUAAGUCAGUUGUGAAAGUUUGCGGCUCAACCGUAAAAUUGCAGUUGAAACUGGCAGUCUUGAGUACAGUAGAGGUGGGCGGAAUUCGUGGUGUAGCGGUGAAAUGCGUAGAUAUCACGAAGAACUCCGAUGGCGAAGGCAGUUCACUGGACUGCAACUGACACUGAGGCUCGAAAGUGUGGGUAUCAAACAGGAUUAGAUACCCCUGUAGUC